rnacentral:misc_RNA from 1 species
GGAAAGGAAAUAAAAAUGGUAGUAGUAGAUAACCGCUUCGGCGGAU